AACGAACGCUGGCGGCAUGCCUAACACAUGCAAGUCGAACGAGACCUUCGGGUCUAGUGGCGCACGGGUGCGUAACGCGUGGGAAUCUGCCCCUUGGUUCGGAAUAACUUCGGGAAACUGAAGCUAAUACCGGAUAAUGACGUAAGUCCAAAGAUUUAUCGCCAAGGGAUGAGCCCGCGUAGGAUUAGCUAGUUGGUGGGGUAAAGGCUCACCAAGGCGACGAUCCUUAGCUGGUCUGAGAGGAUGAUCAGCCACACUGGGACUGAGACACGGCCCAGACUCCUACGGGAGGCAGCAGUGGGGAAUAUUGGACAAUGGGCGAAAGCCUGAUCCAGCAAUGCCGCGUGAGUGAUGAAGGCCUUAGGGUUGUAAAGCUCUUUUACCCGGGAAGAUAAUGACUGUACCGGGAGAAUAAGCCCCGGCUAACUUCGUGCCAGCAGCCGCGGUAAU
rnacentral:rRNA from 1 species